rnacentral:rRNA from 3 species
ACGGGAGGCAGCAGUGGGGAAUAUUGCGCAAUGGGGGAAACCCUGACGCAGCAAUACCGCGUGAGUGAAGAAGGUUUUCGGAUCGUAAAACUCUUUUAUUGGGGAAGAAGAUGACGGUACCCAAUGAAGAAGUCCCGGCUAACUACGUGCCAGCAGCCGCGGUAAUACGUAGGGGACAAGCGUUGUCCGGAAUGACUGGGCGUAAAGGGCGCGUAGGCGGGGUACUAAGUCUGAUGUGAAAGGUCUCGGCUCAACCGAGGACAUGCAUUGGAAACUGGUACUCUUGAGUACUGGAGAGGCAAGUGGAAUUCCUAGUGUAGCGGUGAAAUGCGUAGAUAUUAGGAGGAACACCGGCGGCGAAGGCGGCUUGCUGGACAGAUACUGACGCUGAGGCGCGAAAGCGUGGGGAGCAAACAGGAUUAGAUACCCUGGUA